CAUGCCUGGAAAGUUUUGAAAUUCGACAUUGCCCUACUCUGUUACUGCUCUUCGGCCUGAAGUUACAGCAUUGUAUGGAACAAGGGCUUUUCCAGUGUGUCUUCCCGAGUGUCUCUAUUAUUGUUCUGCCUGAAGUUGCAACAUUGUAUGAACACUGGCUUUUCCAAUGUGACUCUAUUUUGAGAGCAAGUACCAAGGAAGGAGAAAGAUUGAUGCAUUGUUUGGUUUGUGAAGUUAGCAGCCAUCACCUGACCAUCGUAGACAAAACUAUGGAAGGAUUUCUCCUCAAACAUCUCAAUACCUUCUUUAAGAAAGAGUAACAUACAAGCUUCACAGAAAGCAGACAAUGAAGCUACAGCACAUGUAUGGAGGUCAGAGGACAACUUUGUGGAAGUCUGUUCUUUCCUUCCGCCCCAUGACUCCG